rnacentral:misc_RNA from 1 species
GACAGACUUGAGUUCAUAAGAGUAAUUCGAGUAGCUGAGGCCAUAACCAAACUCAAAAACGUUCUGGCCUUUGUAGAAUCUGUAUGUUCGGCCAGGAUAGCCUGAAGAGUAAUCAGGUCGCAUCCUCAUAUCUGUCAUUGGUACUUUGACAAAUUCUUGUGGAUACCAGGUCAUUGGUAAUCUCCCUCCUGGAUUGUGAUCACCAAAUAUGAUUUCUGCAAGUGCAAUCCCAC